rnacentral:lncRNA from 1 species
AUGUGUGUGCACAUGUUUGUGCAUGGGACGUUGUGUGGGUGUGCAAGUAUGUGCUGCUUGGGGUGUGCAGUGGGUGUGGGUGUGCAAUGGGUGGGGGUGUGCGAUGGAGAGGGGUGUGCAAGGGAUGGGGUGUGCAAGGGAUGGGAAUGUGCAAUGGAUGGGGUUGUGCAAUGGAUGGGGUUGUGCAAGGGACAAGGAUGUGCAACGGGCAGGGCUGUGCAAGGGAUGGGGUGUGUGCAAUGGGCAGGGAUGGAUGCAACGGAUGGGGAUGUGCAAGGGACGGGGUGUGCAAGGGAUGGGGACGUGCAAGGGGCAGGGAUGUGCAGCGGGCAGGGAUGUGCAAGGGAUGGGGUGUGUGCAAUGGGCAGGGAUGGAUGCAACGGAUGGGGAUGUGCAAGGGACGGGGUGUGCAAGGGAUGGGGACGUGCAAUGGACAGGGCGGGGAUGUGCAGCGGGCAGGGAUGUGCAAGGGAUGGGGGUGUGCAACAGACAGGGACGUGCAAUGGACAGGGGUGUGCAACGGGCAGGGACAGAUGUAACGGACGGGGACAUGCAAGGAAAGGGGUGUGCAACGGAUGGGGUGUGCAAGGGACGGGGAUAAAGCAGCCACUGAGCCCCCCCUCGGGCUGCAGACGGGGGAUUCCCUCCUGGUUAAAGGGGGUGUUUUGGAGCCCCCCCCCCCUUAUCCCGUCCCUCCGGGCACCCAUGGGUGCCCCCCCCCCGGUGCUCGUGCACACUCGUGUGAGCUCACACGUGCUCGCUGUGCCCUGGGGGUGCCCGCAGCUGCGGGGCCGCAGCCCCGGGGGCAAAGCAACCCGACCCCGCCGGGCCCUAAAGCACAGCAGGGAUUUGGGGCGGUUUGGGUUAUUUUGGGGCGGUUUGGGGGUUUUUUGGGGGGGGUUUUUUUUUUUUCAGCGUGGCUCCGGCUCUCUCUGGUGGCCAAGCGGCUGCACUGCACCCAGCCCACGGACAGCGGGGCCACGGAGCAGCACCGGGGGUCUCGGGGGGGGGGGGGGGGUCACGGAGCCCCCCCAAACCCCGACCCCAAACCUCGACCCCCGGUACCGGGCCGGGCCGGGCCGCGCCCGUCGCGCUCACGGCCCCGCGCGUCCCCGAUGCUUUUUGUCCCUCGGCCCGCUCCGUAGCGGCGCUGCGAGGGGCGGGGCCAGCCGGGGGGUGAAGGCCCGGAUGCGGAAGUGCCCGCUUCUUUCUGCCCACAGGCCGCAGCUGUGA